GGGGUUUGCUGACCAGCUAGUCUAACCAAUGAGAAAGCAGGUCUCAAAAAAUUAGGUGGAGAGUGACUGAGGAAGAUACAUGACAUCACAUGACAUCAACAUCAGAUCUUCACAUUCACACACACAGCUCCUUCCCAGCUGCUGCUUUGGUUACCUCGUUCUGCUCUGUGUACUCAGAGGAUGAAAACCUUACUCUCAGAUGAGACCUGAUAGGCUUACACCGGCUAGCAUAAUGUCUUCUCCCCGCUACCCUAAAUUAGUAUAAGAAUGGACAUAGCACCCUUUGAACACCCUUUGAAGCAAGAGGUGUGUCUACAAUUUCUUUCCAGGUACUGCCCUUCUUCAAAUGUAAUUGGAAUUGAUCCUCUUUUGUGAAAGAGGCAGUCUUCAAUAGAAGAGUCUUAGUCAGGGAGGAGAGGUCUGAGAGGAUUGUAGAAAGGAGACCUAUGUCCUUGAUGACAUUUCGAAAGGUCUGGGGACCAACGCAUCCCUCAGACCAGGCACAUUCUUGGAGUGUGAAAUGGCUCAAACAGUUCACAUCAGUAUUCCCACUUCAGUGUCAGCCUUUUCAGAAUGAUCCUUGUGCUGCCUGUAGCCCAAAGAGCCUAAUGUGUGCUACAAGCUCAGAAAAGGAACCAGCUUAAGACAAAUAUACAGAGGUUCAGCCUAGGCUUAGCAAAAGCAGGUGAAGGCAUAGCUUCCCAAGGCUGGAGAGAUGGCUCAGCAGUUAAGAGCACAUAUGACUCUUUAAGAGUUUGGUCCUAGUACCUACACAGGACCACUCUGGACUAUCUACAAUUCCAGCGUCAGGGGAUCCAUUGUCUCUUGCCUCUAUGGUACUGUGUGUGCACACAUGCCCAUUUCUCCCCACAUAAUUUAAAAUAAUAAAAAUAAAUCUUAAGGACAUAGCUUCUAGCCCUUUUGUCUAAGAUUAAGUGCAGAGGGCAUUCAGCUGUUAUUAUGAAAGCCUAUUGGUGCACUUGGGUACUAAGCAUGCCAAAUUUAUUUGUCUUUGUUAUUAAUUUUUAAAGUUAUCAUGCAAAGGAAUGGGUUUUACUAGUUCACUCUCAUGCCUAUGUGUCUUUAUGCUUUGUUCUCAUUUGUACUGCCCCCCUUGUUCCUCCAUGCCUUCCUUCCGAUCACAUGUCACACACAUUCCAUCACCUUAAGAUGUCUUCCUUUCCUCUCAUGAUCACCUUUCUGGUCUCACCUUCGUCCUGCCUCCUUCACAUAUAAUUUUAAACGUGGGUUCUGCAUAUGGGGGGAAAACCCCAUACAGUGUUUGCAUUUCUGAAUCUGGCUUAUUUCACUUAGCGCAGUGAUUUCCAGUUCCAUUCAUUUCCUGCCGCUCAACCCUGAGAGAGCCCAAAAGCCGUAGCUGAGAGCCCAGUGAUGGUGGAGGUAUCACUUAGGAGGCUCUCACAUUGUUUCUUCCUGUGGCCUUAUUGUGGCAGCCUAUGGACAGAGCUAGCUGCUGCUCUGUGUUGACAGGGUGUGUCUCUUCACCAUAUGUGAAUCUUGACAAAGCAGCCUGAGAUAUUUUCAGCAAAGCACUUGGCUUUGGGUUGGGAAAGCUGGAUGUAUAAAGUCGCACAGUGGUAUGGAAUUCUUUACAUCUGGUUCAUCUAAAACAAAAGCUGCUAUAGUUACAGGGACACUGGAGAUGAAAUACAAAGGGAGGGAACAGAAUUGCAUUUGCCGACCAGGUUUGCUAAGAUUUGAAAAUGCCAUCUGACAUUCCAUUCACACCAAACAUAGAUGAGAAGUGCUGAAAUCGAGUCCCAUCAGAGGACGGGAUGAUUAGGCGCUGGUUGUGCUGACAAUGCAUAGGCCAAAGGUCUGCUUUUGAAGGCUGGCUUGCUAGAUACCACAUGACCUGUGACAACCACUGUUUAAAGCUGACAAGGCAUACUUUUGGAGUAUGCUAUAGGAUUGGAGACUUCCAGUUAUACACUAAUGUCACAGUAAAACAUUAUUUGGAGGAUUAGUUGAUGAGAAAUCACCUGGACAUCUUGGCACUUUAUUAAGCCUUAUGUGGAAAUCUGUUAGGUGCUACCUCCAUUCUUUGUGACAUCACAUCUAAGUGCCAUUUGGAUCCCACCACUCCCAUUUCUGCAAAAUCCAACAAUGCUACUGUCUUAGUCAGGGUUUCUAUUCCUCCACAAACAUCAUGACCAAGAAGCAGUUGGGGAGGAAAGGGUUUAUUCAGCUUACACUUUCCAUAGUUUAUUCAGCUUACACUUUGAUCACCAAAGGAUGCAGGACUGGAACUCAAGCAGGAAGCAGGAACUGAUGCAGAGGCCAUGGCGGGAUGUUACUUACUGGCUUGCUUCCCCUGGCUUGCUCAGCCUGUUCUCUUAUAGAACCCAAGACUACCAGCCCAGAGAUGGUCCCACCCACAAGGGACCUUUCCCCCUUGAUCACUAAUUGAGAAAAUGCCUUACAGCUGGAUCUCGUGGAGGCAUUUCCCCAACUGAAGCUCCUUUCUCUGUGAUAACUCCGGCUUGUGUCAAGUUGACACAAAACUAGCCAGUACAGCUACCUUCAUUGAGAAGUCCAAACUCGGACUCUGAAGCUUCGUGCAAGGCUUAGAACACUCUCUUACACUGGAAGCUGUCAAUAUUGGAGGUCAUAAACUGGGGCUUGCCUGGGAUUGGAGGUAUAAUGCAGCUGAAAGACUUCUGGGAAUGAAUUCUGUGUAAGUCUUAGCCUUAUCCAAAAGGAUAGCUGUUCAAGAGCUGUACUGUAAUUAUCUGGACAGUUGCUGAUACUGUAGUCAACAAUGCAUUGUCUAAAUUUGUUCAUUGUUAAAUAUGCUACCCAAUAAUGAAAGACCUCUGUAAAAAUUG
rnacentral:lncRNA from 1 species